GUAUUUAAAAAAUAAAUGAAAACACCCACCCACACAUACACACUCACACAACUGGAGUAUAAUAUGCAUACAGAAAAAUGCACCAAUCACAGCCAUUCUGCCUGAUGAAUUAUGACAAGAGUGAACAUGUGAGUAACCACCACCCCAGGUGAAGCAGUAGAACACUCUGAGAACCCCAGAGGCCCCUCUUAUGCCCUGAUCUCCCCCACUGCACUCCCGUUUCCCCUUCUCCUACUUGUAAAUGAUUUUUAAUGAUUUUCCAGGCUCCAACUUGGAAGGGAAGCACUUUGAUCAGGAGGAUUUGCUGAAGGACCAAGGUGCCUGACUCUUGGGGACACCCAGGGUAGCAGUUCAUGAAGCUUAUUGGGCAAGCAUUGAUUGGGCAAGCAGGAAGGACCAGCAACUGAGGACGCCCAUCCCUGGACCCUUGGGCUGCUUUCUGUUCCUUCACCCAAAGUUGCUGAAAUACCAACAUACCAGAGUGAAAAUAAUUUUCCCUAGUCCACACAGCCUCCCAAUUUCUAGGCAACUUCUUCAGUCAUCAGACCACACUUCCUCCCUGCCUUGGGGAAAAGGAAUCUCUGACAAGCUGUUAUUCAUUUCCUUGAAGUUAAAAGAACCUGUGGGAGGAAGAGGAGGAAGGAACAUUGACACUGAGAAGGAGACAAGAGGAAGAGGAAGAGGAGGAGGAGGCAAAAGAGGGAACAUUAUUAAUGAAACUGAGGCAGAAGAGAGCUUCAAAAUAAAAGGAAGAGACAGAUGAUUUUGAGGUGGGAGGAAGACAACAUACAGACUCAUGUUGUAAGAUCUUUCUGGAGAAGAGUCCUGCAUGUAAGUAGCCCAAGACUUGGGAUUUCCUUUAAUUUUUUUGCCUCUAUAU
rnacentral:lncRNA from 1 species